UAAUGUAUGGGGAUCUGCCCGAUAGAGGGGAAUAACUACUGGAAACGGUGGCUAAUACCGCAUAAUGUCUACGGACCAAAGCAGGGGCUCUUCGGACCUUGCACUAUCGGAUGAACCCAUAUGGGAUUAGCUAGUAGGUGGGGUAAAGGCUCACCUAGGCGACGAUCUCUAGCUGGUCUGAGAGGAUGAUCAGCCACGCUGGGACUGAGACACGGCCCAG
rnacentral:rRNA from 1 species